rnacentral:misc_RNA from 1 species
GAUGAAGAACGCAGCGAAAUGCGAUAAGUAAUGUGAAUUGCAGAAUUCAGUGAAUCAUCGAGUCUUUGAACGCACAUUGCGCCCCCUGGUAUUCCGGGGGGCAUGCCUGUCCGAGCGUCAUUGCUGCCCUCAAGCACGGCUUGUGUGUUGGGCCCCCGUCCCCGGUUUCCCCCGGGGACGGGCCCGAAAGGCAGCGGCGGCACCGCGUCCGGUCCUCGAGCGUAUGGGGCUUUGUCACUCGCUCUGUAGGCCCGGCCGGCGCCAGCCGACACCCAACUUUAUUUCUAAGGUUGACCUCGGAUCAGGUAGGGAUACCCGCUGAACUUAAGCAUAUCAAUAAGCGGAGGA